UGUGGAACUUUAAAAUCACGACCACCUUACAACCUUACACAGCCCCACUGGGUCCACCCACACAUAAACCCCUGGUCGACAUUUUUCGGUUGGGGCGACCUUGGAGAAAAAAAAAUCCUCCAAACCCACAGACCACAACUCUUCACUAAGACCAACUCCUCAAAGUACCAACAGUAACCAGACCCAAUAUAAUUGAGCAAUGGACCAAGCUACCCCA
rnacentral:rRNA from 1 species